AGUUUGAUCAUGGCUCAGGACGAACGCUGGCGGCGUGCUUAACACAUGCAAGUCGAACGGUGACCCAGGGCUUGCCCUGGUGAUCAGUGGCGAACGGGUGAGUAACACGUGGGCAACCUGCCCCUGACUUCGGGAUAACUCCUCGAAAGAGGAGCUAAUACCGGAUACGACCACUUCGGACAUCCGAUGGUGGUGGAAAGUUCUUCGGUCAGGGAUGGGCCCGCGGCCUAUCAGCUAGUUGGUGGGGUAAUGGCCUACCAAGGCGACGACGGGUAGCCGGCCUGAGAGGGCGACCGGCCACACUGGGACUGAGACACGGCCCAGACUCCUACGGGAGGCAGCAGUGGGGAAUAUUGCGCAAUGGGCGAAAGCCUGACGCAGCGACGCCGCGUGAGGGAUGAAGGCCUUCGGGUUGUAAACCUCUUUCAGCAGGGACGAAGCGAAAGUGACGGUACCUGCAGAAGAAGCACCGGCUAACUACGUG
rnacentral:rRNA from 1 species